CACACAUUAUGUUGUAGUUUGUCUGCGCAGUCUUUUGUUAGUUUUGUGUUAUUCUUUGUGUCACCCCUUUGGGAGGGUGAAAUGCCUUGUUUUUGUAUCUCUGUUGGACCUCACUCUCCCGAGGGGAUGGUUGUGAUCCUAGCUCCUAGCAGGAAAAUACAACCUGAAAAAUAUGCUGAUGAUGUCAUUCUACUUGCAGAGAAAACUAAGAGGACUCCAUUAAUCACUGUAAAUUGGUAGCAACGCUGACAGUUAUUUGUGGACACUAUGUGGCUACAACUUUAUACUUCCCUCAGAGAACCGGGAGUAUUACCAUGAAGCAUCUACCAAUCACCAUCUGGAUUUAUAAAGGUGCUCCAUGAUUGGUGGAGCUCCUCUUUUUCAUCACAGAUCUCGUUUCAAUACCAAGAAAAGUUUCCAGGCAAAGAAGAACCAGAUGCCCCUCGAUUUCUCAAAGUUACAGAGUGAUUACUGUCCCCUGCACAAUGCUUUUAGGCCUCACGUAAAAUAUCAGAAAAAAGAAGCCUGUUUGGACUGGGAGAGGAAAGAUAAGAGAGAAAUAAACACGGCCGUAAUUUAAAGCUUUUUAAGUUUUCUAUUUGCAGGGUCAUGUUCUGUAACUCAAUGUGACUUACCGUAUUCAUUUUGUUAAUGGAGUGAGUCAAAACAAUGUCACGGAACGACAAUAGCUUCUCAUGAGUGUGUGGAGUCAUUGACCAGACAGACUGACUAUGGGGAGGUCAGGUAUGAUGACUUUGGAGAUGGAGUUUGGAGUGCAAAUCAUGCAGGAUGACUGUAAUUGUCUGAAAGUACAGAUUAUGUGGUUAGGCACCAUAGAGUAUAAAAUCCCUACAUUUAUUUGUAGGGAUAUGCCCCUACAGCACAUAGAUCAUGAUGAAAGGAUGGUCAGGUAAGUUGAUGACACAGAUAACAUUUUCUCUGCCAUAAAGUGACAGAUGUUUUGUAAGUACAGAAAAUAUAUUCAAGUCGACUGACUAAGGAUUGCAGUCCACAUACUGUAAGUCAAGAUGAUUUUAUUUAAGGUGUUCAAAUGUCAAAAUGCAUGUUUUGCCAUGAAAUGGGGAUACUAUGUAUAAAA